rnacentral:rRNA from 1 species
UACAGAGGGAGCAAGCGUUGUUCGGAAUUACUGGGCGUAAAGGGCGCGUAGGCGGUUCGAUAAGUCCCGUGUGAAAUCCCUCGGCUCAACUGAGGAAUGGCACGGGAAACUGACGGGCUUGAGUUCGGGAGAGGGAAGCGGAAUUCCGGGUGUAGCGGUGAAAUGCGUAGAGAUCCGGAAGAACACCGGUGGCGAAGGCGGCCUGCUGGGCAGUGGCUGACGCUGAGGCGCGACAGCGUGGGGAGCAAACAGG